rnacentral:rRNA from 1 species
UACGUAGGUGACCAGCGUUGUCCGGAUUUACUGGGCGUAAAGAGCGCGUAGGCGGUCCGAUAAGUCGGCUGUGAAAGUCAGGGGCUCAACCCUUGGAAGCCGGCCGAUACUGUCGGACUAGAGUCCGGAAGAGGCGAGUGGAAUUCCCGGUGUAGCGGUGAAAUGCGCAGAUAUCAGGAGGAACACCAAUGGCGAAGGCAGCUCGCUGGGACGGUACUGACGCUGAGACGCGAAAGCGUGGGGAGCAAACAGG